rnacentral:rRNA from 1 species
AAACUGUCUCUUUUUUAAUAUAUUUAACUUAUUUAAGGAGUGAAAAUACUCCUAAUUUUUAUAAUAGACGAGAAGACCCUUAGAGUUUAUAAGAAAAAGGCCUUCAGGUUUUUACUUUUUUGUUGGGGCAACAGAAAUAGAAAAAAUUUUACUUAAUAUUUAACAAGACGAUCCUUUUAAGAAUGAAUAAGCUACCUUAGGGAUAACAGCAUAAUUUUCCAUAAGCUUGUGACCUCGAUGUUGGACUA